rnacentral:rRNA from 1 species
UUCCGGUUGAUCCUGCCGGAGGCGACCGCUUUGGGAGUUCGAUUAAGCCAUGCGAGUCGUGAGUCUUAGGGACUCGGCAUACUGCUCAGUAACACGUGGAUAACCUGCCCUAUCGUCUGGAAUAACCUCGGGAAACUGAGAAUAAGGCCGGAUAGUUCACAAUGCCUGGAACGGUUUGUGAAUCAAGGUAGGAUGGGUCUGCGGCGUAUCAGGUUGUAGGGGGUGUAAAGGACCCCCUAGCCUUCGACGCGUACGGGUGUUGGGAGACAUAGCCCGGAGAUGGAUUCUGAGACACGAAUCCAGACCCUACGGGGUGCAGCAGGCGCGAAAACUUCACACUGCAGGAAACUGUGAUGAGGGAACUCCUAGUGCAUGCACUAUGUGUAUGUAGAUCCUACUCUUAACAAGUAGAGGGAAAGGGCUGGGAAAGACCGGUGCCAGCCGCCGCGGUAAUACCGGCAGCUCAAGUGGUCGUCGCUUUUAUUGGGCCUAAAACGUCCGUAGCCUGUUUGGUAAAUCUGUGGGUAAAUCAAUCCACUCAACGGAUUGAAUUCUGCAGAGACUGCCAGACUAGGGACCGGGAGAGGUGUGGGGUACUCGAGGGGUAGGGGUAAAAUCCUGUCAUCCUUCGAGGACCACCAGUUGCGAAGGCGCCACACUGGAACGGAUCCGACGGUCAGGGACGAAGCCUAGGGGCACGAACCGGAUUAGAUACCCGGGUAGUCCUAGGUGUAAACGCUGUGAACUUGGUGUCGGGGGUCCGCAAGGGGUCCCCGGUGCCGGAGUGAAGAUGUUAAGUUCACUGCCUGGGGAGUACGGUCGCAAGGCUGAAACUUAAAGGAAUUGGCGGGGCAGCAC